UCCUUAAUAGCUUAAUUGGCAGAGCAAUUGAUUGUUAAUCAAUAUUAUAAUAGUUCGACUCUAUUUUAAGGAG
rnacentral:tRNA from 1 species